ensembl:lincRNA
AAAUAAAAAGUGCAGAUUUAUGAGAGGGGAUGGGUCUACCUGGAGUGACUUGAGGAAUACCCAGAAGACCCCGUCCACCUCCUCCUGCUUAGAAUAUGCCUUUUGCUAGCCUGCUGUGAUGCCUGGAAUUUCAUCCUUCACCCAUGUGAGUCAUUAUUGGACCCAGGAAGUUAAAGAUCAAUCAGUCUUAUCCCCUGCCCCCCACCCCCCACCCCUGGAGAGCUACAGAUGCCACCCACAGCUGGCUCCUGGAAACUUGAGCAGAGACUGGGUCCUCUACUCUUUUUCAGAAGUUCUCCCAUGAGGGUGUGAGUGGCCAGGGAGAUGUCCUGAAAGGGAUUCUGGGCUCGGAGUGGCUUAGAGGGCAGUUUCCCACGAAUUUUCCAAUUUUCUUCAAUCAGAAAGUGAGCGACCCAUGACCAGUCCCAUGCCCCGAGCACAGCCCAGCGGAGCUCAGAGUUGGUCCACAGCAUGUAGGGGGGUGGGAAUGAUGACCAUCGCAGCAGAGCCCACGCUGGCCAGCACAGCUGGUGCUCCACAUUUUAAGCAGGAGUGGACACACGUACCCAGGAUCUCCCAAACCCGUGCAGGCCAGGCCAACCCACCCCGGUCUGAGUCAGCUUUCUCAUCCAGACUUGAGUCUUAGUUAGAGCACUGCCUUGGCCUUUAGUGAGGCCCCCAAAAUGAUGUCAAUGUUCACGCUCAGCUGCCCUCGCCUCAACCAGGCUAAUGAGGAUGGGGAAAAAGUUCUUUGUUUUAGGCCAAAUGGGUCUUCUCUAACUGCAGCUGUUUUCUUUUUUUGUUCCUACAAGUGCUGGGCCCACCCACAUAGUUUAAAGCCAAGAUCAGGACAGAGAUGGAGGGAGCUGUCCCCUGGCCACCCUGAUACCUGCUGUUGGAAAUCAACAAACACAAACCCACUUUGUGUUCUUGACUUCAGUCCCCAGCUCCUCUCUCCAUCCACCUUUACUUUCACUGACGCUGACACCCACCUGGACCACUCUGACGACAUCCUGGCUCCCCAACUUCUUCAGACCCUUGCCUUCUUUGAUUUCAGCCACCUCUGAGAUCUGAAAAUUUGCUUUUAUUUAAAAAAUGUUUUAAGUUUACAUCUGUAAAAUUCUUUUUCUGAUGUACAGGUCUAUGGUUUCUUAGACAUGCGUGGAUUCUCACAGCCACCACCACAGACAGUACAAGCAACAGUUCUAAUACUCCAGAGAACGCCCUCAUCUCUCCUCACCCCUGCCUUCUGGCAAGCAAUGAGCUGUUCUCUGUUCCUGUAUUUUUGCCUUUUCUAGAAUGCCAUAUAAAUGGAAUUAUAUAGAAUGUGCCCUUUUGGUACUGGCCUCUUUUGUUCAAAAGAAUAAUACCUUUGAGAUUCAUCCAUGCUGUUGUUUGAAUCAAGCAUGUUAACUUUUAUUGCUGAGUAGUAGUCCAUUGUGUAGAUAUAUUACAGUUUUUUAAAAAUCUACCCCUGUCGAAGGACAUUUGGGUUGUUUUCAGUUCUUGGUGAGGAUGAACAUUUGUGUGCAGAUUUUGUGUGGACUUAAAAUCUUGACUUCUUUAAAAUACCUAGAAGUGGUCAUUGCUGGGUCCUAUGUAUGUGAGAUCUCAACUGUAAGUUUCCUCUCCUCUGACAACUGUGCCCCAUCUACAUGGUUCCUUUCUCUAACAUAUCACACUGACCACUGUGACCUCACUAAGACCUCCAAUUCACUGAGCCUGCCAUUUUUUUCAUUGAUCAUGAACCUAUUCAUUUUUUUCUUUCCUUCUCACACAACUUAGUGAUCCAUCAUAAUAGUCAUCCUACUGGAAACUUUCCUCACUCCCUUAAACAUACCGUCCUGGCUGAACCACAACCUGGUAAACUCAACUACCCACCCAUUCAGCCUCCAUUAGAGUAGAACAGUGUGGCUAGAAGAAAACACAAUUGUGCCAUGGGCCAGUUCAUGACCAUAAAUCUCACCUGAGCUUCUGAUACUGAUCAUCGAUCAGUCUGACCUUGUAGUGACUAUUUCAUACUUGUAUCUCUUCAAACCUCUGACAGCCUCAUAUAUCACUGGGGAAAUAGCGAUCAGACUAGAGAUUGCUUAUUAUCCUCCCACCACCAAUUCCACCUGACGGACGAAGGCUUUACUCUCUUCUCUGCCGUCCCCCUUUUAAAACGAUGAGCUGUCCAUGCUUCUGUCUGAAGCCAGCCCCUCGAUGGUGCAGUGGAUUCCAUCCGUGCCCAUCCCACCUUUUCAAUCAUUUUACUUCUGCAAUUAUCCCCUCUUUCCUGUCUUCAUCAACUUUCUGCCAUCACCGUAUAUACGUUUCCUAAUGUAGCUCAUCUUCAAAAAUGAUGUCCCUCCUGGCUCCCCAAAACCAGUAACUUUACAGUGGAGAGACCUGACAAAACACCUCAGCCAGGUGAUCAAGGCAACGAGUCAUGAUGGCGGAAUGUACCCUUGCUGUGAUGUGAGGAGGUGAUAAUGGCACUGUACCUCUGUGGUCGUCCUUUCCAAAACCCACAACCUCUGUCCAACCAGAAAAACACCAGACAAAUCCAAAUGGAAGGAUGUUCUACAACAUACUUAACUAGCACUCCUCAGAAUUGUCAAGGCUGUCAAAAGUGGGGAAAACCUAAGAGAAGCCUAAGGAGACGUGACAAGUAAAUGUAAUGUGGUAUCCUGAAUAGGACCUUAGAACAGAAAAAGAAAGAUAUUAAGUAAAACUAAAAACUAGAAUAAAGUACAGGCUUUAGAUAAUAAGGUACCAAUACUGGUUCAUUAAUUGUGACUUAUGUACCAUAGUAAUGUUAACAAUACUGGAGGCCAGGCACGGUGGCUCACGUCUAUAUUCCUACCACUUUGGGAGGCCGAGGCAGGAGGAUCACUUGAGCCCAUGAGUUUGAGACCAGCCUGGACAACAUAGGGAAACCCUGUCUCUAUUCUAAAAAUAAAAUAAAAUAAUAGAGGAAGCUGAGUGCAGGGAACUCUUAUAAUGGUCUCACAGCCUUUCUGUAAACCUAAAACUAUUCUAAGAUAAAAGUCGAUUAAAUAUGAAACCACACACACAGACACACACACUCCCACACUCCCACACACUCCCCUGACCCAUGUCAUCCUCUUGCUCCACUCCAUUUCCCUGCUUUCCUGCACAGGGAACCUUCCCAAACGAGUUGUAUAUUGCUACGGUCUCUGUUUCCCCACUCCAGCCAGCUCAUUCCUCAGUCUACUCCAAUCUGCUGUCCUUAGCUCCCCACCAAACCUGCUCUUGUUAAGGUUGAUGGUGAGCUCCAUGUUGGCAAAUCCAAGUCAAUUUUUUUCCCCUUCCCUUACCUUUCAGUCUAGUGUGUGUGUAACGCAGUUCACUAUGCCCUACUUCCCGCAGCACCCUUGUCACUUGGCUUUUGGGAUACUAUACCCCUAGAUUUCUUUCUGCUCCUUGGCUGCUCCUGCUCAGUCUGGCUUCUACCAGUGGCCUAGGUUCUGUCUCCGGACCUCUGUUCUUUGCACUUCUAUCUCAUAGGCAUAUUUCAUCCCACCUCAUGGAGUUAAGUACAAUUUACCUACUGCACAUACCCAAAUUUGUAUCUCCAGCUUUAAACCCUAUGAGGUAGGGACUGCUGUCACCACCAUUCUACAGAACAGCAGACUUAGGCUAUCAGAUGUUUAAGGGGCUUCCUUGAGGUUACACAGCAGGAAGCAGCAGGGCUGGGAUUUGAACCUAGGUCCGUCUGACUCUAGGUCUGUGUUGUGAGUUGCCAGGCUGCCCGGCCGCCCCCUCCUUCCCAGCUCCCGUCCUGCCUGCCCCCCAGGGCCUCUUGCAUGUAUUGCUCAUUCUGGCCUCAGGCCUUUGUCUCCCUGGUCCACUUCUCCUGGAAUGACCUCUUUUCCCCCUGCCUGUCUAAUCCUCUUCCAUCCCAGCUCUGGUGGGAGAUUCUUCACUCCUAAGACCCGGGCUGAUCUCUGCUGGCCUCCUCUGGACAUUUGCAGGAGUUGAAGUCCACCCUAAAACAACCAAGGGCUCAUUUGCAUCAGUAGUUAUGAUGCUUUCUGAACCCGCGAUGGGACCCUUGGCCCAAGUACAGCUGCACCUGCGGGGACGUGGAGGCACGUGAUCUAAUGCUUGGACUGGCUGGGAAAACUGGGCCAUGGGCCUCCAUCAUCCCACACCAUCUAUCCAAGCGGGCUUUGUUUGGUUCCCCUACUAGCUGGGAAGCUUCUAGAAGGAAGGAUCAUGAUUGCCGAAGAAGUAUCAUUUUUAAACACUGUGUGUAUUAGGUGGGGCUGGGGAAGUACUUCAAAAUCGUUUUCUCCUGGGUCCUGGGGGACCAAGAAAAGUUCAGUCUAGUAGUGAAAGAAUUGACUUAGACUUCAUUUGAGGUCACAGAGAGGCCAAGCAGUUCCCACAGGGGUCGCUGAGCUCAGAGGAAUGUUUGGAAGAAAUGGGGGUGACAGGAUCAUUUUUGGAAGAACUGAGAGUGCCGGAGGGAAGUGAGGAGCAGGAGGCUGGAAGGAAGAUUUGGGAAGGGCCAUGUGGGAGGCCCAGUGCUGGCUGAGACAGUGAGCGGUGACCUCUGGGGCAGAGAACACAGCCCUUUCACUUACGUGAGUUCAGCCCCAGUUCCCAUGAUGCUGGCCUGGGCUCUGGCCCCCACCCUGCCACUAACUCCCUGUGUGACUGCAGGCAAGUCGCUUUGUUUUCCUGGGCAUCAGUUUCCUCAUCUCUAAAAUGAGGAGGUUGAAAAAAAGAAGUGAUGGGUUUGGGCGACAUUGUUUCUCAGCCCCUC